CUUGUCCCCAUGCAGUCUAGCAGGAAAGGAGAGGGAGCUUUCCCCGAAGACCCUCCUGGACCAGCCCCAGGCUCCUGUGCUGGUUGCACGCCAGGGCCUGUACUGACCACCUCCACGUGCCACUGGGGCUGUAAGGAGGAAUGGCGGCCGUGGGCAGCCUGCUUGGGUA
rnacentral:sRNA from 1 species